rnacentral:rRNA from 1 species
UACGUAGGGUGCGAGCGUUGUCCGGAAUUAUUGGGCGUAAAGGGCUCGUAGGCGGUUUGUCACGUCGGGAGUGAAAACUCGGGGCUUAACCCCGAGCCUGCUUCCGAUACGGGCAGACUGGAGGUAUGCAGGGGAGAACGGAAUUCCUGGUGUAGCGGUGAAAUGCGCAGAUAUCAGGAGGAACACCGGUGGCGAAGGCGGUUCUCUGGGCAUGUCCUGACGCUGAGGAGCGAAAGUGUGGGGAGCGAACAGG